GGCUCCAUAGUGUAGUGGUUAGCAUGUCUGCUUUACACGCGAAGGUCCUGGGUUUAUGCCCCAGGUGAAGCCA
rnacentral:tRNA from 1 species